rnacentral:rRNA from 1 species
UGUUGCUGGUUCUCUAGGGAGCAUGUGCACGCCUUGUCAUCUUUAUAUAUCUCCACCUGUGCACCUUUUGUAGGCCCUGGAUGCUCUCCAUGGUCUAUGUUGCUUCUGCAUUUACUCCAAUGUAUGUUAAUAGAAUGUAUGUGCCUUAUGAAAUCUAUACAACUUUCAGCAACGGAUCUCUUGGCUCUCGCAUCGAUGAAGAACGCAGCGAAAUGCGAUAAGUAAUGUGAAUUGCAGAAUUCAGUGAAUCAUCGAAUCUUUGAACGCACCUUGCGCUCCUUGGUAUUCCGAGGAGCAUGCCUGUUUGAGUGUCAUUAAUAUAUAUAUCAACCCUCUUCUUGUUGUAGAGUGGUUUGGAUGUGGGGGGUUUGCUGGCCUCUUAAAAAAAGGGUCAGCUCCUCUGAAAUGCAUUAGCAGAACGACCUGUUCAUUGGUGUGAUAACUAUCUACGCUAUUGAAUGAU